rnacentral:rRNA from 1 species
AUUGAACGCUGGCGGCAUGCUUUACACAUGCAAGUCGAACGGUAACAGGCCUUCGGGUGCUGACGAGUGGCGUACGGCUGAGUAAUGCAUCGGAACGUACCCAGAGGUGGGGGAUAACGCAGCGAAAGCUGUGCUAAUACCGCAUGUGAUCUGAGGAUGCAAGCGGGGGACCGAGCAGCAAUGUUUGGCCUCGCGCCUUUGGAGCGGCCGAUGUCGGAUUAGCUAGGUGGUGGGUUAAAGGCCUACCAAGGCGACGCUCCGUAGUUGGUCUGAUAGGACGACCACCCACACUGUGACUGAGACACGGCCCAGACACCGAGAGGAAGCAGCAGUCGAGAAUUUUGUACGAGGGGCGCAAGCGGGAUCCAGCAAUGCCGGGUGCGGGAUGAAGGCGUUCGGGUUGGUGACCGCUUUUGGCAGGAACGAAGCGGAGUCCGCUAAUACCGGGCGCUAAUGACGGUACCUGCAGAAUAAGCACCGGCUAACUACGUG